GAUCCUUCUCAGGAUGAACGCUGGCGGUCUGCUUAACACAUGCAAGUCGAUCGGAAUCCUUAGGGAUUUAGUGGCGGACGGGUGAGUAACACGUAAGAACCUGCCUCUAGGACGGGGACAUCACUUGGAAACGAGUGCUAAACCCGGAUGAGCCGAAAAGUAAAAGAUUUAUCGCCUAGAGAGGAGCUUGCGUCUGAUUAGCUAGUUGGUAAGGUAAAGGCUUACCAAGGCGACGAUCAGUAGCUCGUCUGAGAGGAUGAUCAGCCCCCAAUCGCAUGCGACACGGCCCAGUCUCCUAUGGGAGGCAGCAGUGAGAAUUUUUCGCAACGGGGAAAGCCUGACGGAAGCUUUUCCGCCUGAAAAACUAAGGUUCUUGGAUUGUCAACCCCUUUUCUCAAGGAAGAACAAAAUGACGGUACCUGAGGAAGAAGCAUCGGCUAACUCCGUGCCAGCAGCCGCGGUAAUACGGAGGAUGCAAGCGUUGUUCGGAAUUAUUGGGCGUAAAGAGUGCGUAGGCGGCCAUUUAAGUCUGAUGUUAAAGACCGGGGCUCAACCUCGGAAAGGCAUUGGAUACUGGAAGGCUUGAGUGCAGUAGAGGCAAGGGGAAUUCCCGGUGUAGCGGUGAAAUGCGUAGAUAUCAGGAAGAACACCGGUGGCGAAGGCGGCUUCCUGGGCUGUAACUGACGCUGAGGCACGAAAGCUAGGGGAGCAAACGGGAUUAGAUACCCCAGUAGUCCUAGCCGUAACCAU
rnacentral:rRNA from 1 species